rnacentral:tRNA from 1 species
GCCGAGGUAGCUCAACUGGUAGAGCAAUCGCUUCGUAAGCGAUAGGUUGUGGGUUCGAGUCCCAUCCUCGGCU